AAAAAAAGAUUCCCUUAAAGACCUAAAGUUACGCCUCUCUCAAUUCCCUUAAAGACCUAAAAAAAUUCAGACUCCCAUACGAUUUCCCCCCAAAAUCUAUCGGCACCAUCUCUCCCAAUCCUUCCACACUCUAACCAACCAUCCCAGAACCCUCGUCCUCCUCUUGGAAAACAUAACCGUCAAGAGAGCAAAUGAGUUCGCGAGGCACAAUUUUCACCCAAACUUGAUGAUCAGUUGAGUGGAUAUAGGCAAUUGCAUUAUGGGCAUCAAUGUAGAAACAAACAAGUGUAAUAAUCAUGAGUUACAAACUUAAGGAUUUACAAGACCUCAGACUUGGAAACGCUUCGUUAUCAGAUACUAAGAAGAAUGCAACUUAUGAGGUUAGAGUCUAUGACUCGUUCAUAUAUAAUUGUAGACGAGAAGGUGGCAGUCCUGCAAGAUUAGGAGGGUAACAUGGCAGUCUUUACUGCGCCCUUCUUGAUAUCCAUAAGAAGAACAAUUUCUUUCACGCAUUUGGUACAAAUACAAUCCACUAAUGUGUCUCAACUCGCGAUCGGAACCUGGUAUUAGAAAAGCAUUGGAGCACUUUUGGGUUUUCACUUCUCUUCAUAGUCCGCUGAUGGUUAUCAUCACUAUCCAGUCUCACAUUAGCUAGUUUUCUUUUAAAACUUUAUUAUUCGUAUUGUAAAAGAAUUAUGUAUGAAAUUAUUCUUUAUCUUGUAAAAGAAUACUGUUACAUUUUGAGUGUAACAAUAUUUUAGUAUUUUAAUUUAUCUUUGAAUGAUACUGUUGACCUUUAA